rnacentral:rRNA from 1 species
AUGAACGCUGGCGGCGUAGCUUAACACAUGCAAGUCGAACGGAGUAUUAACGCUGAACAAACGAUUAGCUUGCUAAAAGUGAGUUCUUGUUGAUACUAGUGGCGGACGGGUGAGUAACGCGUGGGUAACCUGCCAUAUACAGGGGGAUAACACUUAGAAAUAGGUGCUAAUACCGCAUAAGCGCACAGUAUCGCAUGAUACAGUGUGAAAAACUGAGGUGGUAUAUGAUGGACCCGCGUCUGAUUAGCUAGUUGGUGAGAUAAAAGCCCACCAAGGCGACGAUCAGUAGCCGGCCUGAGAGGGUGAACGGCCACAUUGGGACUGAGACACGGCCCAAACUCCUACGGGAGGCAGCAGUGGGGAAUAUUGCACAAUGGGGGAAACCCUGAUGCAAGCGACGCCGCGUGAGUGAUGAAGUAUUUCGGUAUGUAAAGCUCUAUCAGCAGGGAAGAAAAUGACGGUACCUGACUAAGAAGCCCCGGCUAACUACGUGCCAGCCGCCGC